rnacentral:rRNA from 1 species
UACGUAGGGGUCGAGCGUUGUUCGGAGUUACUGGGCGUAAAGCGUGCGUAGGCGGUCUUGUAAGUUUGGUGUGAAAUCUCCCGGCUUAACCGGGAGGGUGCGCCGAAAACUGCAAGGCUGGAGUAUGGGAGAGGUAGGCGGAAUUCCUGGUGUAGCGGUGAAAUGCGUAGAUAUCAGGAGGAACACCAGUGGUGUAGACGGCUUACUGGACCAUGACUGACGCUGAGGCACGAAAGCGUGGGUAGCAAACAGG